UCCNGAAUAAUUGUCACCUCACCCCUGUG
rnacentral:piRNA from 1 species